rnacentral:rRNA from 1 species
GAUGAACGCUGGCGGCGUGCCUAAUACAUGCAAGUCGAGCGAAUGGAUUAAGAGCUUGCUCUUAUGAAGCUAGCGGCGGACGGGUGAGUAACACGUGGGUAACCUGCCCAUAAGACUGGGAUAACUCCGGGAAACCGGGGCUAAUACCGGAUAACAUUUUGAACCGCAUGGUUCGAAAUUGAAAGGCGGCUUCGGCUGUCACUUAUGGAUGGACCCGCGUCGCAUUAGCUAGUUGGUGAGGUAACGGCUCACCAAGGCAACGAUGCGUAGCCGACCUGAGAGGGUGAUCGGCCACACUGGGACUGAGACACGGCCCAGACUCCUACGGGAGGCAGCAGUAGGGAAUCUUCCGCAACGGACGAAAGUCUGACGGAGCAACGCCGCGUGAGUGAUGAAGGCUUUCGGGUCGUAAAACUCUGUUGUUAGGGAAGAACAAGUGCUAGUUGAAUAAGCUGACACCUUGACGGUACCUAACCAGAAAGCCACGGCUAACUACGUGCCAGCCGCCGCAGUAA